GGCCCCAGCGUGACCCCCCUGUGGUCUAGGCCUGUAUCCCAGCCACCCAGCCAUGACCGCAGGCCAGAAGGGGAGUCGGGGCCUGAUGCCAUUAAAAAGGGAAUUCCUCUGUUGUGGCUGCAGAGGCAGUGAAAUGUGGAACAAUAAUGCUUCAAAGAUGGUUACAAAGAUAAAUAACUUCAUGCGAACCAGCGCCUGUAUGAUCUCCGGCCCGCAGGACAACUCCAUUCCAACACUCUUCCAGUGGGUACUCUGCAAGGGACAAUGUAAAAGGAAUGCUUUUGAGAUCAACAAGAGGAAAAAGAGUAGAGUUGCCCCAUGCAGGGGUGGGCUUGCA
rnacentral:lncRNA from 1 species